GAGCAAUCGAGAGCCGAGCAUAGAGCGGCGCCCCGGCUCUGCGAACUCUUGGCUUCGCUAGGGGCCUCCUGCACACCCCGCAGGCGACAGCGUUAGACCACCCCCGAUUCAAAUUCUAGGAGUCCCGGCCCAAACUGGCCCCGGCACCUUACCAGGGUGGAGGGUAGGGGUUCCAUGCCUCAGUCAGUUCAGUACCAACCUCACCCCGGGUGGGGUCUGGCUACCGUACUGACCCCUCUCCCACAGACGUCCCUUCUGAGCCCCUGACUGACCCAGAAGCUUUGCCCAAUACCGGCUUCGCCUAAACGCAGCCUCUCAUUGCUCCUUUGGCAGGGCAGGCGCCACCAGGAGACCGCCUCGUUGGGCAGCUUCAGAGGCGCGGGGUUCCUAUCCAUGGAGUUUUUGUCUGAGGAUCCAUUAUUAAACGCUGUAGUCGCGGUCACCUGGUUUCACCUUGACGCUGUGGGGCAACUGAUCAGGCUCGGAUUUUUAUUAUUAUUAUUAUUUUGAUACAGAGUCUCUGUCUAUCGCCCAGGCUGGAGUGCAGUGGCGCGAUCUCGGCUCACUGCAACCUUACCAGAUUCAAGCGAUUCUCCUGCCUCAGCCUCCUGAGAGGAUUACAGGCGUGAGCCACCGCGCCUGGCCCCAUGUAAUCUUUGUGAUCACUUUUACACCCAAGUUUCUGGGCCAGUAAUACAGGAUUCCUUCUGCCCACAUUACUAGGGAAAUAAAUGAUAGAAUGAAGUCUUGCGUUGGGAAUAGUUAAGCAAUUGUGCAAGACGCAUUUUCACUUCUUCCUUGGGUAAAAAAGGCAAGACCUCCCAGAAACUCCUAGAGAGAAUGUACCACUGAAUUAGAAAAUGGAGUUCUUGCCGUAAUGAACUUUGGAGUGAGAAGAAAUUCAAUUCAUGGAUACCAGAAGCAAAAAAAAAAAAAUUCUACUUUUAAGAAAUCAAUGGCCAUCAUUAAAAAAGCAGGAAACAACAGAUGCUGGAGAGGAUAUGGAGAAAUAGGAACACUUUUACACUGUUGGUGGGAUUGUAAACUAGUUCAACCAUUGUGGAAGUCAGUGUGGCGAUUCCUCCGGGAUCUAGAACUAGAAAUACCAUUUGACCCAGCCAUCCCAUUACUGGGUAUAUACCCAAAGGACUAUAAAUCAUGCUGCUAUAAAGACACAUGCACACAUAUGUUUACUGCGGCACUAUUCACAAUAGCAAAGAGUUGGAACCAACCCAAAUGUCCAACAACGAUAGACUGGAUUAAGAAAAUGUGGCACAUAUACACCAUGGAAUACUAUGCAGCCAUAAAAAAUGAUGAGUUCGUGUCCUUUGUAGGGACAUGGAUGAAACUGGAAAACAUCAUUCUCAGUAAACUAUUGCAAGGACAAAAAACCAAACACCGCAUGUUCUCACUUAUAGGUGGGAAGUGAACAAUGAGAACUCAUGGACACAGGAAGGGGAACAUCACACUCCGGGGACUGUUGUGGGGUUGGGGGAGGGGGGAGGGACAGCAUUAGGAAAUAUAUCUAAUGCUAAAUGACGAGUUAAUGGGUGCAGGAAAUCAACAUGGCACAUGGAUACAUAUGUAACAAACCUGCUCAUUGUGCACAUGUACCCUAAAACCUAAAGUAUAAUAAAAAAAAAAAGAAA